rnacentral:rRNA from 1 species
UACGGGGGGGGCAAGCGUUGUUCGGAAUUACUGGGCGUAAAGGGCGCGUAGGCGGCCCUCUAAGUCAGGCGUGAAAUCCCCCGGCUUAACCUGGGAACUGCGUCUGAUACUGGGGGGCUUGAGUAUGGGAGAGGGAUGUAGAAUUCCAGGUGUAGCGGUGAAAUGCGUAGAUAUCUGGAGGAAUACCGGUGGCGAAGGCGGCAUCCUGGACCAUUACUGACGCUGAUGCGCGAAAGCUAGGGGAGCAAACGGG